rnacentral:rRNA from 1 species
UACGAAGGGUGCAAGCGUUACUCGGAAUUACUGGGCGUAAAGGGUGCGUAGGUGGUUUGUUAAGUCUGCUGUGAAAUCCCCGGGCUCAACCUGGGAAUGGCAGUGGAUACUGGCAAGCUAGAGUGCGGUAGAGGGUAGUGGAAUUCCCGGUGUAGCAGUGAAAUGCGUAGAGAUCGGGAGGAACACCAGUGGCGAAGGCGGCUACCUGGAUCAGCACUGACACUGAAGCACGAAAGCGUGGGGAGCAAACAGG